rnacentral:rRNA from 1 species
GUGUCAGCCGCCGCGGUAAUACGAACUGUGCGAACGUUAUUCGGAAUCACUGGGCUUACAGGGUGCGUAGGCGGCCUGUCAAGUAGGGUGUGAAAGCCCCCGGCUCAACCGGGGAAUGGCGCCCUAAACUGGCGGGCUGGAGUGAGAUAGGGGUGUGCGGAACUUCCGGUGGAGCGGUGAAAUGUGUUGAUAUCGGAAGGAACGCCGGUGGCGAAAGCGGCACACUGGAUCUCAACUGACGCUGAGGCACGAAAGCCAGGGGAGCGAACGGGAUUAGAUACCCUAGUAGUCC